rnacentral:misc_RNA from 1 species
CCAAACCCAAUGUGAACCAUACCAAACUGUUGCCUCGGCGGGGUCACGCCCCGGGUGCGUCGCAGCCCCGGAACCAGGCGCCCGCCGGAGGGACCAACCAAACUCUUUUCUGUAGUCCCCUCGCGGACGUUAUUUCUUACAGCUCUGAGCAAAAAUUCAAAAUGAAUCAAAACUUUCAACAACGGAUCUCUUGGUUCUGGCAUCGAUGAAGAACGCAGCGAAAUGCGAUAAGUAAUGUGAAUUGCAGAAUUCAGUGAAUCAUCGAAUCUUUGAACGCACAUUGCGCCCGCCAGUAUUCUGGCGGGCAUGCCUGUCCGAGCGUCAUUUCAACCCUCGAACCCCUCCGGGGGGUCGGCGUUGGGGAUCGGGAACCCCUAAGACGGGAUCCCGGCCCCGAAAUACAGUGGCGGUCUCGCCGCAGCCUCUCCUGCGCAGUAGUUUGCACAACUCGCACCGGGAGCGCGGCGCGUCCACGUCCGUAAAACACCCAACUUCUGAAAUGUUGACCUCGGAUCA